UACGUAGGGUGCGAGCGUUAAUCGGAAUUACUGGGCGUAAAGCGUGCGCAGGCGGUUCGGCAAGUCUGCUGUGAAAGCCCCGGGCUCAACCUGGGAAUGGCAGUGGAAACUAGCGAGCUGGAGUGUGGCAGAGGGGGGUGGAAUUCCACGUGUAGCAGUGAAAUGCGUAGAGACGUGGAGGAACACCGAUGGCGAAGGCAGCCCCCUGGGCUAACACUGACGCUCAGGCACGAAAGCGUGGGGAGCAAACAGG
rnacentral:rRNA from 1 species